rnacentral:rRNA from 1 species
AUGCACGUAGGAUCCGAUAAUGACAUAUUGGAUGAUGAUGAGGAAGCGAGCAAGUCUACCGAUAAACUUAAUGAUAUUGAUCCAUUUGACACUGUCUACUCAAACAUUCCAGGCAACACUCACGUCCUGAAACUUGACGAAAAUUGCAAACACUGUAGGGCCAGGAAGUUUGUGUCUGAGACUGACGGAUUCUGCUGCCGCAAUGGACAGAUCCAGCUUAAGCAACCGGAACCAAUCCCAGAGCUUAUGAGGCUAUUGUCCAGCAUGGACGAAGAUUUGAGACAUUUUCGGGAGAACAUAAGGUUCUUCAACGGGCAUUUCGCAUUCACAACCCUUGGCGUCAGCCUUGAUGAAAACUACACAAACAUGAGGUCUGGGGUGUACACAUUCCGAGCUCACGGCACCAUCUACCACAAUGUCCAUUCGUCCGGGCCUAUCUCACGUCCAGAACAUCUGCAGUUGUACUUCUAUGACGACGACCCAAACUUAGAUCAUCGUAAGGCUGCCACCAAGCAAUUAGACCAGGAUGUCGUGAAGAGGUUAGUAGACAUACUGAAAGAAAACCCAUACCACUACAAGAAAUAUGUCAACUUAUGA